rnacentral:rRNA from 1 species
GAUGAACGCUGGCGGCGUGCCUAAUACAUGCAAGUCGAGCGAACGGACGAGAAGCUUGCUUCUCUGAUGUUAGCGGCGGACGGGUGAGUAACACGUGGAUAACCUACCUAUAAGACUGGGAUAACUUCGGGAAACCGUAGCUAAUACCGGAUAAUAUUUUGAACCGCAUGGUUCAAAAGUGAAAGACGGUCUUGCUGUCACUUAUAGAUGGAUCCGCGCUGCAUUAGCUAGUUGGUAAGGUAACGGCUUACCAAGGCAACGAUGCAUAGCCGACCUGAGAGGGUGAGCCGCCACACUGGAACUGAGACACGGUCCAGACUCCUACGGGAGGCAGCAGUAGGGAAUCUUCCGCAAUGGGCGAAAGCCUGACGGAGCAACGCCGCGUGAGUGAUGAAGGGCUUCGGAUCGUAAAACUCUGUUAUUAGGGAAGAACAUAUGUGUAAGUAACUGUGCACAUCUUGACGGUACCUAAUCAGAAAGCCACGGCUAACUACGUG